GGGCUCUAUGACCUGUUGCCAGCCCCAAGUUGGCGAGGUUGGCCAGGGCUCUAAGCAUGGGGAAUGGCUGCUUGUGACCUAGGGUGGUGGACUGAGGGGACCCGUCUCUGGAGCAGGGAGCUGAGCAGCAGCAAGGAACGGGGGCUGAGUGGCUGCUCCCCAACCUGGGAUCCGUUGUCCCCCCAGAGCCAGCCUGGCUGGAGUCAUUCCAAUGAGCAGGAGGCCCCUUGUAGGGAGAUGCUGGGAGACCUGGGACCAGGGCGGCUGGGAGCAGUGAGGCCUGGACUCUCACCAGCCCCUUGACUAGCCUCUCUCCUAGGUUGACCAGAUAGCAAUUGUGAGAAAUCGGGACAGGGAUUGGGGGGUAAUAGGCACCUAUAUAAGACAAAGACCCAUAUAUUGGGACAUCUGAUCACCCUACUCUCUCCUCAUCUCUCCAGUGGCCCCAGCUCGAUGGGACGCCCCAGCUCCAUGGGACACCCUGCCCACUGAGAGCAGAGGCUCUUGGGCUGGUGCAGAGGGAGGGGCCAGCUGCUGCGUGGUGGGGGGCAGCAGGGUCCCGAAUGGGGGGAUGCAGCACAGAGAGACCAGAGACUUAAGGAUGCUUAGAAGCUUUAUUAGUGCCAAUCACAGCAAUAGCCAGAUGCAGGCAAAGUGCCAGCACAGUAGGACCCACCCUUGACCCACUGCAGAACCGCCCCCCAUCCCCUGAAACUCCAACUAAGAAGUCAGGACUCCUGGGUUCCAUCCCUGUCUCUGUGAGAGAGCAAGGUCUGGUGGUUAGAGCAGGGGGCAGGGAGCCAGGACGCCUGGGUUCUGUCCCCAGCUCAGGGAGGGGAGCAGGUUAAGUAGUUAUAGUAGGGGUGGAGGGAGGGGGACUGGGCCUCAGCACUCCUGGGUUCUAGUCAAAACUCCAAGAAUGUAGUUAGAGAAUGGGCCAAAACUCCUGUUUAUUUUGUUUCCCCUGACUCAGCCACUGACUUCUGUGUGACUUUGGGUGGGUCCUUGCCCUCCUCUGUUCUGUUUCUGCUGUUGUAGACUGGGGCUACUGCCCCAACCUAGCUUUGGGGAUUUAGGUUGGGGAGCUCUAUAGAAGGGCCAGCAUUACCAUAAGGGACGCUGCUGCCCAGGUUGGGAAUCCAGUUCCAUCAGGCCAUGGCAAAAGUAGCUGAGCCUGGCUCUCCUGCAUCCUUACAACCCUGGCUCCUGCUGGCUGGGCAGAGACUGACUCCAGCCCCGAGAUGGGUGGGUGUGGACCCAGGAUACUGGGGAAGGAAGAGGGGAUGUUGUACCCUCCUCUUGC
rnacentral:lncRNA from 1 species